rnacentral:rRNA from 1 species
GUCAUAUGCUUGUCUCAAAGAUUAAGCCAUGCAUGUCUCAGUACGAGCCAAAUUAAGGUGAAACCGCGAAAGGCUCAUUAAAUCAGUUAUGGUUCCUUAGAUCGUACCCACAAUUACUUGGAUAACUGUGGUAAUUCUAGAGCUAAUACAUGCAAACAGAGCUCCGACCGGAGACGGAAGGAGUGCUUUUAUUAGAUCAAAGCCAAUCGGUGGCGGGUUCGCUCGUCAUCGUACAACUUGGUGACUCUGAAUAACUUUUCGCUGAUCGCACGGUCAUCGCACCGGCGACGCAUCUUUCAAAUGUCUGCCUUAUCAACUGUCGAUGGUAGGUUCUGCGCCUACCAUGGUUGUAACGGGUAACGGGGAAUCAGGGUUCGAUUCCGGAGAGGGAGCCUGAGAAACGGCUACCACAUCCAAGGAAGGCAGCAGGCGCGCAAAUUACCCACUCCCGGCACGGGGAGGUAGUGACGAAAAAUAACGAUACGGGACUCAUCCGAGGCCCCGUAAUCGGAAUGAGUACACUCUAAACCCUUUAACGAGGAUCAAUUGGAGGGCAAGUCUGGUGCCAGCAGCCGCGG